GACGAACGCUGGCGGCGUGCUUAACACAUGCAAGUCGAACGGUGAAAGCGGAGCUUGCUCCGCUGGAUCAGUGGCGAACGGGUGAGUAACACGUGGGCAACCUGCCCCUCACUUCGGGAUAACUCCGGGAAACCGGGGCUAAUACCGGAUAUGACCUCCUUGGCCAUCCUUGGAGGUGGAAAGUUUUUCGGUGAGGGAUGGGCCCGCGGCCUAUCAGCUUGUUGGUGAGGUAGUGGCUCACCAAGGCGACGACGGGUAGCCGGCCUGAGAGGGCGACCGGCCACACUGGGACUGAGACACGGCCCAGACUCCUACGGGAGGCAGCAGUGGGGAAUAUUGCGCAAUGGGCGAAAGCCUGACGCAGCAACGCCGCGUGCGGGAUGACGGCCUUCGGGUUGUAAACCGCUUUCAGCAGGGAGGAAGCCGCAAGGUGACGGUACCUGCAGAAGAAGCACCGGCUAACUACGUGCCAGCAGCCGCGGUAA
rnacentral:rRNA from 1 species